GAAACAUGUAAACGAUGUUAGGACACAAUAAAUUCUUACUCUUUAGUUACCACAUUGCAUUUAUUACCAAUGCAAGUAACAGAUUUUAAGUCAAAAAUCAUGUAUAGGGACAAGACAUCAUCAACCAAAAAUGUCAUUUAAACUAGAUACACUGAUAUAAAAUCAAUAUUACAAGACUGUUGAGAUGAUUGUGUGAUUAAGUCAUUUUUGAUGCAAUCAGAAUCUCGACAUUGUAUUAAAUGCUUCAUUGAUUUUGCAGAUUUCUUCUCUGAUUGCCUCAUUUAUAGCAUCUGCCCAGUACCCAACCAUUUAACCUUCUCCCUCGUUGCUUCCCGCAGCAUCUUGAGCAACAAAAUACAUUAACAAGAAUGAAAUAAAUGAAAAAACAAAUGAAAUGAGUGAAUCUACCCAUUAUAUUUUAACAGUGGCCUCGCAGAAAACUUUUCCUAUCAUUUCUUUCUUGUACUCCACAAUUAUCUUUCAUUUAAUUUUCUUUAGAAUAAAACAGAUAUUUUCUCCAGAUGAUGGCAAACAAAGGUAACAGGGAGUGAUUUUAAAGUGUUUAUUAAAAAUUGAUUGUUUCUUUUGUCGUAACGUUAAAGGCUGCAGACACUAUGUCUUGGCCAUGAGUUAGACAGAAGGACAGCCGACUUCUUUAGUGGUAUAGCUUGGAGCAUAUUUAUCAAACAUUUGCACUACAAUACGAAAAAAACAGUCUUUCCUCACAAAUGUUCUAUCGCCUCUUUUGUCCCUUGUCUCCAUAGAACACUUUCCUCUAUGCUAACUAGCUGGGAUAACAGUCAGUUUUCCAGGCAUUGGCUGGUUCUUUUGCCGGUGUGCUGCCAAACCGCAGUAAGCUGGUGUUAUCUGUGUGAGAGGCUAAACACGGCACUUACUAUCCACUCAGGUUGCCAGUCAGACUGCCUGUCUUUCUUAGAACUGGCCAGACCUGAUUUCCAGCUAACUGUCUAGCUAGCUUAUGUUCCAACCAGCCGCCUGGAUUGCAGGGCAGGACUGGUGUCUUGGAAGUGGCCGGACGUUAUUUUUAUGUUGGCUCCUCGGAGGCUAGAGAAUAUUGAUCCGUUCCAAUUUUCGGGUUUAAGAAAUGUUUUAAUAGGCAAAGUGAUGCUGAGAUGUAGGUCAUGAGGGUGAGUCAGGGGACUAAGAUAGGAGGGUGAGUGAGGGUACUAAGAGAGGAGGGUGAGUCAGGGUACUAAGAUAGGAGGGUGAGUCAGGGUACUAAGAUUAGAGGGCAAGUCAGGAUACUAAGAUUAGAGGACGAGUCAGGGUACUAAAAUAGGAGGGUGAGCCAGGAUACUAAGAGAGGAAGGGUGAGUCAGGGUACUAAGACUAGAGGGUGAGUCAGGGUACUAAGAUAGGAGGGUGAGUCAGGGGACUAAAAUAGGAGGGUGAGUCAGGGUACUAAAAUAGGAGGGUGAGUCAGGGUACUAAAAUUAGAGGGUGAGUCAGAGGACUAAGAUAGGAGGGUGAGUCAGGGUACUAAGAUUAGAGGGUGAGUCAGGGUACUAAAAUAGGAGGGUGAGUCAGGGGACUAAAAUAGAAGGGUGAGUCAGGGGACUAAGAUUGGAGGGUGAGUCAGGGGACUAAGAUAGGAGGGUGAGUCUGGGUUCUAAGAUAAGAGGGUGAGUCAGGGGACUAAGAUAGGAGGGUGAGUCAGGGGACUAAGAUGGGAAGGUGAGUCAGGAUACUAAGAUAGGAGGGUGAGUCAGGGUACUAAGAUAAGAGGGUGAGUCAGGGUACUAAAAUAGGAGGGUGAGUCAGGAUACUAAGAGAGGAAGGGUGAGUCAGGGUACUAAGAUUAGAGGGCGAGUCAGGGUACUAAGAGAGGAGGGUGAGCCAGGGGACUAAGAUAGGAGGGUGAGUCAGGGUACUAAAAUAGGAGGGUGAGUCAGGGUACUAAAAUUAGAGGGCGAGUCAGGGUACUAAGAUUAGAGGGCGAGUCAGGGUACUAAGAUUAGAGGGCGAGUCAGGGUACUAAGAUUAGAGGGCGAGUCAGAGUACUAAGAGAGGAGGGUGAGCCAGGGGACUAAGAUAGGAGGGUGAGUCAGGGGACUAAAAUAGGAGGGUGAGUCAGAGGACUAAGAUAGGAGGGUGAGUCAGGGUACUAAAAUAGGAGGGUGAGUCAGGGGACUAAAAUAGGAGGGUGAGUCAGGGGACUAAGAUUGGAGGGUAUGUCAGGGUACUAAGAUAGGAGAGCGAGUCAGGGGACUAAGAUAGGAGGGUGAGUCAGGGGACUAAGAUAGGAGGGUGAGUCAGGGGACUAAGAUAGGAGGGUGAGUCAGGGGACUAAGAUAGGAGGGUGAGUCAGGAUACUAAGAUAGGAGGGUGAGUCAGAGGACUAAGAUAGGAGGGUGAGUCAGGGGACUAAAAUAGGAGGGUGAGUCAGGGUACUAAAAUUAGAGGGCGAGUCAGGGUACUAAGAUUAGAGGGCGAGUCAGGGUACUAAGAUUAGAGGACGAGUUAGGAUACUAAGAUUAGAGGGCGAGUCAGGGUACUAAGAGAGGAGGCUGAGCCAGGGGACUAAGAUAGGAGGGUGAGUCAGGGUACUAAGAUUAGAGGGUGAGUCAGGGUACUAAAAUAGGAGGGUGAGUAAGGGGGCUAAAAUAGAAGGGUGAGUCAGGGGACUAAGAUUGGAGGGUGAGUCAGGGGACUAAGAUAGGAGGGUGAGUCUGGGUUCUAAGAUAAGAGGGUGAGUCAGGAUACUAAGAUAGGAGGGUGAGUCAGGGUUCUAAGAUAGGAGGGUGAGUCAGGGGACUAAGAUGGGAAGGUGAGUCAGGAUACUAAGAUAGGAGGGUGAGUCAGAGGACUAAGAUAGGAGGGUGAGUCAGGGGACUAAGAUAGGAGGGUGAAUCAGGGUUCUAAGAUAAGAGGGUGAGUCAGGAUACUAAGAUAGGAGGGUGAGUCAGAGGACUAAGAUAGGAGGGUGAGUCAGGGUUAUAAGAUAAGAGGGUGAGUCAGGGGACUAAGAUAGGAGGGUGAGUCAGGGUUCUAAGAUAAGAGGGUGAGUAAGGGGACUAAGAUUAGAGGGUGAGUCAGGGGACUAAGAUAGGAAGGUGAGUCAGGAUACUAAGAUAGGAGGGUGAGUCAGGGUUCUAAGAUGGGAGGGUGAGUCAGGGGACUAAGAUGGGAGGGUGAGUCAGGGGACUAAGAUAAGAGGGUGAGUCAGGAUAUUAAGAUAGGAGGGUGAGUCAGGGUUAUAAGAUAAGAGGGUGAGUCAGGGGACUAAGAUAGGAGGGUGAGUCAGGGUUCUAAGAUGGGAGGGUGAGUCAGGGUUCUAAGAUAAGAGGGUGAGUCAGGGUUCUAAGAUGGGAGAUGGUUUAGAUCAAUGAUUCUCAGAGAUCUUACUUUGCAUACCACCUCACUGAAUAAAUAUCAACUAAAGGGAGCACCGCGUACCACCAGGGGUACACGUACCAUAGUUUGAGAACCAGUGGUUUAGAUGACAAGUAUGGACAUUAGGUGACAUUAGGUGACAUUAGGUGACAUUAGGUGACAUUAGGGGAGGUGCUUGGGGGAGGACAGGAAGCCUGUCUAGGAGCCCUGAUGGUCAAUGACAUUUUCUGUACGGUACUUUCGCCCUGCAUCGCAAAUCCACUGGCGCUUAUCGUAAUGACGGACUGCCAGCCGGCCAGACCAGCGCCUGUCUGUCAAUCACAGGUCUCCAUGGUGAUCCAGGGACAUUCCUCCAUGACACUCAUCAUACUGGAUACUCUGGAGAGAGAGAGAAACAGAUGAGAUGGACUCAGCGAGACAGACAUCUAAAGGUCAGCAGUCAGUCAGUACAGAAGUCACAGCUAUAUUCAUCUUCCCCGGUUUCUUCUGAUCUAGAGAUAGAGUGCACAGAGAGGCAGGCUGUGGGUUGGGAAGGACUGGCCCAGGAUGGAGCUCAGAGAGGCAGGCUGUGGGUUGGGAAGGACUGGCCCAGGAUGGAGCUCAGAGAGGCAGGCUGUGGGUUGGGAAGGACUGGCCCAGGAUGGAGCUCAGAGAGGCAGGCUGUGGGUUGGGAAGGACUGGCCCAGGAUGGAGCUCAGAGAAGCAGGCUGUGGGUUGGGAAGGACUGGCCCAGGAUGGAACUCAGAGAAGCAGGCUGUGGGUUGGGAAGGACUGGCCCAAGAUCACACGCCAUCUGGUCUCCAACCAGAUGAUAGAUACUCUGGACUUAUUUACUGCUUAUUUACAACUCAUGUACAGUCAUUCUUCCUACCAUGCUUAAAGUGAACACACACACAUGUACACACACACACACAAACGCACACACACACCACUGCCACGAUGAUGUGGAUUUGGGCAAAUAUGUGAAUUUCCCAAUCACUUGAGAGGUUAUCAGCAUAUUAACACAUGAACAGGAUUAAUCCCAUUUCACCUUCCUCUGCUAAAUAGUCUCAAAAGCUGACAACCAUCUAUUGGCCUCGAAAACAAAUAGAGUGGCGUUAUCAUAAUCAUUAAAGGCUACUUAUCCCAGCCGGCUGAGAAGACAUCCUUCACAGGGCACAAUCUCACGUCAUCUAAAUGACCCAGGAUUGUUGAUCACUUGACCUCACAAAGGUCAGAGGUCAUGGGGUCAAACAGCUAUCAGUGAGGUGCAGGGUUGCAG
ensembl:lncRNA